AAGGGAUGGGUUUUUUCUCUCUGUAUGUAUUCAUUUUCGUCUGCUCACUUCAUUGCCUUGUUUUUGUCGAUUCACUCUCGGUCUUGGAGAAAUUUGUGGAGAAUCUAUCCAUGUUCCUUUUUUUUUGGCUCUAUAUUUUGAUCGAAGAUCUACCCUCUGAAAAUUAGUUUCUUUCUAUAUAUAGGUGUAUAGUGUUAGUCUUUCACAUCUUAGAUUCGAAGAUUUAUGGUUUCGACGUGUUUGUGGUAAAUUUGUUUUUGAUACCUUUUCUUAUGAUCUAGCCUUUGGUAGAUAUUUUUUCUAUGCAUAAACUACACUGCAUUGCUUCUUUCUCUUUUCCAGAUUAGGCUUGAGGAUGUAAGGUUUUGAUCUUUUGGGGUUUCAUCUUUUUUCAAAGGUGAGUUAUUACUGGUUUAUUGUACAUGGUUGUUGUUUUAUGUUGGGUUAUUUUACGUUUGUGCAGAAUCUAAUAUCUCUUAUAUUUUUCAAAAUCGUGACUUUUUUUGUGAGGUGAUCUGAAGGUGCAUCUUUAAGCAUGUGGAGUUUUUCUUCUUCUCGUCUUGGAUUUUGGAAAUGCAAGGACUCUAUGGUAUUUUCAACUUUAUUUCUUGUUGCUCAAAUCAUGUAAAAAAACAGUUUACAUGUGUGGUGUUCAGAAGUAAAGGGAAAUUUUCAUUUUUUUGUUCUUUUCCUUUCAUAAAUGUUCUUUCAGUCAGAAAAUUGUUGAAGGAAUGUGUUCAAUAAGAAAUUACUUGUUGAAGAUUGGGGUUUUCGUUUAUAUUGCGGUUCUUUCUAAUUACUUGAACUGAUAUGUUGUAUCUGUUUCAGUUGUGAUGCUUGUCCGA
rnacentral:lncRNA from 1 species